UACGGAGGGAGCUAGCGUUGUUCGGAAUUACUGGGCGUAAAGCGCACGUAGGCGGCUUUGUAAGUUAGAGGUGAAAGCCCGGGGCUCAACCCCGGAAUUGCCUUUAAGACUGCAUCGCUUGAAUCCAGGAGAGGUGAGUGGAAUUCCGAGUGUAGAGGUGAAAUUCGUAGAUAUUCGGAAGAACACCAGUGGCGAAGGCGGCUCACUGGAGCUGGUAUUGAACG
rnacentral:rRNA from 1 species